rnacentral:rRNA from 1 species
UACGUAGGAGGCGAGCGUUGUCCGGAGUUACUGGGCGUAAAGGGUGCGCAGGCGGCCGCGCGCGUGGGUGGUGAAAUCUCCCGGCUCAACUGGGAGGGGGCCAUCCAGACGGCGUGGCUUGAGGCUCGGAGGGGGGCGUGGAAUUCCGGGUGGAGCGGUGAAAUGCGCAGAUAUACGGGAAGAACACCCGUGGCGAAGGCGGCACUCUGGGACGGUACUGACGCUGAGACGCGAAAGCGUGGGGAGCGAACAGG